GACGAACGCUGGCGGCGUGCUUAACACAUGCAAGUCGAACGGAAAGGCCCUGCUUUUGUGGGGUGCUCGAGUGGCGAACGGGUGAGUAACACGUGAGUAACCUGCCCUUGACUUUGGGAUAACUUCAGGAAACUGGGGCUAAUACCGGAUAGGAGCUCCUGCUGCAUGGUGGGGGUUGGAAAGUUUCGGCGGGUGGGGAUGGACUCGCGGCUUAUCAGCUUGUUGGUGGGGUAGUGGCUUACCAAGGCUUUGACGGGUAGCCGGCCUGAGAGGGUGAACGGCCACAUUAGGACUGAGAUACGGACCAGACUCCUACGGGAGGCAGCAGUGGGGAAUAUUGCACAAUGGGCGGAAGCCUGAUGCAGAAACGCCGCGUGCGGGAUGACGGCCUUCGGGUUGUAAACCGCUUUCGCCUGUGACGAAGCGUGAGUGACGGUAAUGGGUAAAGAAGCACCGGCUAACUACGUG
rnacentral:rRNA from 1 species